GAAGAGAAAAUCCAGAGAAAGCACAGAGAAGAAAAAUGGUGAUCUCAACAUUAACAAACUCAGUCUCUAAACCUAAUUUUAUACUUAAUCAAGGUCUUAAAUCAAAACCCUUUUCUUCAUUAACCUUUAAACCUACGAUUUGCUGUUCUUCUGAUUCCAAUGGGUUAUUGCGAUGUUUCUCCUGGGUUUGGUGAUAAUGCUCCAGUUGGUGAACUUACUAAUGAGGGAGGCGUAAGCUUCAGAUUCCUCCAGCAGUAGCAUUUGGACCUGAACCUGCAGGAUGCUUCCGAGGUGAAUGCAACAUACCUGCGAACGUGACUCUUACGUACGACAUUAACUUCGUAGGAGUUUACAAAUGGAAAUUCAAAACUGCAAAGAUUUCAGUUUAUAUAAUAGCAUAGAAUGACAAGACUAGGCCACAGCGCAUCACAAAUCUUAAUAAUGGAAUCCAUUGCUCCAUGGAUCGCAUUUUAUCAAGCAGAGGAGGAUUGCGUUGCUGUCCAACUCAACCACAGAUUAUUGAUUCACGCAGAUAAUUAUGCAGCACCUGAUGAUUUCUGUGUGGCACCGUUGGCGCCUGAGCCGAACUCGUUCUGUUUGGCCUAUAUGUCAUUGUUGGAGCAUGAACUUGACUCGGUUUGUAUGCCACCGUUGGUGCCUGAACUUGACUCGAUCUGUAUUUCACCGCUGGUGCCUGAGCUUGACUAGGUCUGUACGCCACCGUUGGCGGCUGAACUUGAUUCUGACGGUUUAUCAUUGUUGGUGGUGGCACUUGAUUUUGCCGGUUUGCCAUUGUUGGUGCGGGAACUUGAUUCGAGUUGGUUACAGGCCUCCAUGUUUGAGAAUUUGAUCCGUUGGAAUUUUGAUCUCUGUUGCUCCUGCUUGAACCAACCCUAUGCCUCUGUUGCAUAUGGUUAUCAUGUAUGCCCAUUUCAGGAUUGCGAGUAAAUCCCGCCGUUAUUUGAUUGCUAAUGAUCAAAUAUAUAUAUAUAUACAAAUUCUUUGAGAACAUGACAUGAUUGUAACACUGCAUUUUAUGAGUAGAUAAUGAAAAGCUCGAUCCAACCUUUCAAAGGUUGAUUGAUCCUAUUACUGGUUUGUGGUUUAGAAAGAGGAGCGUCGAUAGUCGCGACGCUGAGGUUGGUUUGAUGGCAUGGAAGGAAUUCCAUUUGCAGGAUGCGAAUGUGAAUUUGACUCCUCAUGCGCAUAGCUCUCAGAAGUUUGGUGUCCAUUGUAUUGAGCUAUUUCGCAAUUCUCUAUGCAGUUGAAGUAAUUUAAGACAUU